rnacentral:rRNA from 1 species
UAAACUCUAAGCGGUGGAUCACUCGGCUCAUGGGUCGAAUGAAGAACGCAGCAAACUGUGCGUCAUCGUGUGAACUGCAGGACACAUGAACAUCGACAUUUUGAACGCAUAUCGCAGUCCAUGCUGUUAUGUACUUUAAUUAAUUUUAUAGUGCUGCUUGGACUACAUAUGGUUGAGGGUUGUAAGACUAUGCUAAUUAAGUUGCUUAUAAAUUUUUAUAAGCAUAUGGUAUAUUAUUGGAUAAAUAUAAUAAUUUUUAUUCAUAAUAUUAAAAAAUAAAUGAAAAACAUUAUCUCACAUUUGAAUGUGAAAAACGAAGAGAAAUAUUUUCUUUUUCAAUCAAAUAAUACUGAGAAAUGUCUAGCAUAAAAAAUUGAAAUAUUUUUCAUCUAGAAUUGUCUCUUAUUAAUGAUUCGGGAAAUAGAAAAAUCUUGGUUAUGUUAUUAUUCUUCGUUGGUUCGUUAAAAAUGGAUAAAUAAAAACUUUGCAUACAAGAAUUAAUAAAAAUGUUAUAACGAAUUUAAUUAAAUGUUUUAUCAUUAUAUAUAAAGAAUUUAUGGCAAGAUAAAGUUAUAUACAACCUCAACUCAUAUGGGACUACCCCUGAAUUUAAGCAUAUUAAUUAGGGGAGGAAAAGAAACUAACAAGGAUUUCUUAGUAGCGGCGAGCGAAAAGAAAACAGUUCAGCACUAAGUCACUUUGUCUAUAUGGGCAAAUGUGAGAUGCAGUGUAUGGAGCGUCAAUAUUCUAGUAUGAGAAAUUAACGAUUUAAGUCCUUCUUAAAUGAGGCCAUUUACCCAUAGAGGGUGCCAGGCCCGUAUAACGUUAAUGAUUACUAGAUGAUGUUUCCAAAGAGUCGUGUUGCUUGAUAGUGCAGCACUAAGUGGGUGGUAAACUCCAUCUAAAACUAAAUAUAACCAUGAGACGAUAGUAAACAAGUACCGUGAGGGAAAGUUGAAAAGAACUCUGAAUAGAGAGUUAAACAGUACGUGAAACUGCUUAGAGGUUAAGCCCCGAUGAACCUGAAUAUCCGUUAUGGAAAAUUCAUCAUUAAAAUUGUAAUAUUUAAAUAAUAUUAUGAGAAUAGUGGUGCAUUUUUUCCAUAUAAGGACAUUGUAAUCUAUUAGCAUAUACCAAAUUUAUCAUAAAAUAUAACUUAUAGUUUAUUCCAAUUAAAUUGCUUGCAUUUUAACACAGAAUAAAUGUUAUUAAUUUGAUAAAGUGCUGAUAGAUUUAUAUGAUUACAGUGCGUUAAUUUUUCCGGAAUUAUAUAAUGGCAUAAUUAUCAUUGAUUUUUUGUGUUAUUAUAUGCACUUGUAUGAUUAACAAUGCGAAGAUUCAGGAUACCUUCGGGACCCGUCUUGAAACACGGACCAAGGAGUCUAACAUAUGUGCAAGUUAUUGGGAUAUAAACCUAAUAGCGUAAUUAACUUGACUAAUAAUGGGAUUAGUUUUUAGCUAUUUAUAGCUAAUUAACACAAUCCCGGGGCGUUCUACUAUAGUUAUGUAUAAUGUAUAUUUAUAUUAUUUAUGCCUCUAACUGGAACGUACCUUGAGCAUAUAUGCUGUGACCCGAAAGAUGGUGAACUAUACUUGAUCAGGUUGAAGUCAGGGGAAACCCUGAUGGAAGACCGAAACAGUUCUGACGUGCAAAUCGAUUGUCAGAAUUGAGUAUAGGGGCGAAAGACCAAUCGAACCAUCUAGUAGCUGGUUCCUUCCGAAGUUUCCCUCAGGAUAGCUGGUGCAUUUUAAUAUUAUAUAAAAUAAUCUUAUCUGGUAAAGCGAAUGAUUAGAGGCCUUAGGGUCGAAACGAUCUUAACCUAUUCUCAAACUUUAAAUGGGUAAGAACCUUAACUUUCUUGAUAUGAAGUUCAAGGUUAUGAUAUAAUGUGCCCAGUGGGCCACUUUGGUAAGCAGAACUGGCGCUGUGGGAUGAACCAAACGUAAUGUUACGGUGCCCAAAUUAACAACUCAUGCAGAUACCAUGAAAGGCGUUGGUUGCUUAAAACAGCAGGACGGUGAUCAUGGAAGUCGAAAUCCGCUAAGGAGUGUGUAACAACUCACCUGCCGAAGCAACUAGCCCUUAAAAUGGAUGGCGCUUAAGUUGUAUACCUAUACAUUACCGCUAAAGUAGAUGAUUUAUAUUACUUGUGAUAUAAAUUUUGAAACUUUAGUGAGUAGGAAGGUACAAUGGUAUGCGUAGAAGUGUUUGGCGUAAGCCUGCAUGGAGCUGCCAUUGGUACAGAUCUUGGUGGUAGUAGCAAAUAAUCGAAUGAGACCUUGGAGGACUGAAGUGGAGAAGGGUUUCGUGUGAACAGUGGUUGAUCACGAGUUAGUCGGUCCUAAGUUCAAGGCGAAAGCCGAAAAUUUUCAAGUAAAACAAAAAUGGCCUAACUAUAUAAACAAAGCGAAUUAUAAUACACUUGAAUAAUUUUGAACGAAAGGGAAUACGGUUCCAAUUCCGUAACCUGUUGAGUAUCCGUUUGUUAUUAAAUAUGGGCCUCGUGCUCAUCCUGGCAACAGGAACGACCAUAAAGAAGCCGUCGAGAGAUAUCGGAAGAGUUUUCUUUUCUGUUUUAUAGCCGUACUACCAUGGAAGUCUUUCGCAGAGAGAUAUGGUAGAUGGGCUAGAAGAGCAUGACAUAUACUGUUGUGUCGAUAUUUUCUCCUCGGACCUUGAAAAUUUAUGGUGGGGACACGCAAACUUCUCAACAGGCCGUACCAAUAUCCGCAGCUGGUCUCCAAGGUGAAGAGUCUCUAGUCGAUAGAAUAAUGUAGGUAAGGGAAGUCGG